ACGCCGCAGUCGACCAAGGCCUUCAAGGUCGCUGCCUGCUGCAAAUCGGCAUCGUGGGCGACUGCUCCCGGCGUGUGGUUGGCUACCGCUGCGGCGUA
rnacentral:tRNA from 3 species